AGCGAAUCCUGACUGCAGAUUUCUGUGAGGGCUAUAAAGUCACCAACAUCGAAGAAAUUGAGCGCCAGGGUUUAAGUGUAAAAGAUGUUGCAGACAAACUAGUCAAGACAUUUGCAGAGCAGAUAUUUUACACUGGGUUCAUCCAUGCUGAUCCCCAUCCCGGAAAUAUUUUGGUAAGGAAGGGCCCUGAUGGAAAAGCAGAACUGGUGCUCCUUGAUCACGGGUUGUACGAAAGCUUGAAUAUAAAG